UGCUGCUGUCAUUUGUGCUGGUAGUUUCUCUUCAUGGCAUGCAGAGUUCACCGCUGGCAAACGGAUCGUGUUCCGAAAAUCCAUCUGUAAUUCACAUUCCCAUAGAAACGGGAUUUUGGGCAACAUCUGGAGACAUUUUUGGUUGUCACAACCAGGAAGGAGGGAGUGGUGAUCCUGGCAACGAAAGGAUAGAGAUCAGGGAUGCUGGUAAUCUUGCUACAAGUUGAUGAUUGAGGACUGAAGACACGUGAGCUGCUGCAUUGCCAUUCCUUGCCGUCUACGCUGUAAAUACUGUGAAGAUUUAGG
rnacentral:lncRNA from 1 species